rnacentral:lncRNA from 1 species
AUCAAAAAGGCAUUGAAUCUGUUCUCUUCUCUCCAAGACAGGAACAUUGAAUGAUAGGAAAGAAUUCUUCAAUGGGUGAGUCUUCCCUUUCUGCAAUGAGGAAUAUUUGACACAGCUUCUUAUAAGUCUGAUGGCUUUACUGGACAAGUGACAAAUAACAGGGCCCACUGUGGAGGUCACUGAGGAAAUGAUGCUGAGAAUUCACUCCCUGAAACAAAGGUUCUAGUUCUCAGUCUUUAGAUAUGUCAUAUUUUGUAUGGCCUGGAAGAACCAAGAAUUUUUCUCAGGAAGAAGACCCUACAAAGAAAAAGCUGCGGCACCACAAGAUACAGUGCCUUUGCUACUGCCAUAGAAGACAUUCAGAAAGCAAAAUGGAAAUGAAUUGCAACAUAGAAAUAUGAAGUCCCCAAUAGAUACUGCAUUUUGUCACAGGGUGGAGGAAAAGGAUACCUGGCCUCACACAAAAUGAAAGUAGCCUACAGAACUUCUCCUUUUUAAUGAGCUUAAUCUCCCAGAAACACAUGGUUGAAAAAAAACAAAAAGAAGAAACCAAUAUGUAGGGGCUUUGAGUGGUCUCAGAAUUUGAGAGGCCUUGAUGUGGUCUGUGCAGUUAUUCUGACAGAAAAAUGUUUGCUACAGAACUAGCUGGAUUUCAGAAAACUUUUCUCCCAUAGGUUGAUGUGCAAUUAAAUUGUUCAUUGUUGUAUUCAUGUAUGACUUGCAUUUUUGAAGUCCAGCACUAAGAAAGAGAAGACUGCAACAAAGAACCUUCACCUCUGCCCUCUACCCCAGGUUUAUUCCAUUAAAUUGGGAAGUAUUACUCAGUAUAUCACAUUAUAAAAGAAAAUGCAAGUGAUGCAUGGAGUGUUCAUCGACUCUCCUCUGCCAUACAGAGAAUACAAAGUCCUUGUACUUGCCGGAAUAUCAUGAAUACUACCAAUAUUUUCCUGUUUUCUUGAACCUGGAAGUACUACUAGAAACACAACAUAUUGGAUCCAUGAAACUUCAGAUGUCUUCGUGAUGUCUUAUUCCUCUACCUUUCACUGACAGGUCAUCAACCUCCCAGGGAGUAUGAGCACACAAACCUGUGUUUUAUGUGACCAAAGGAGAAGUAUGCUCCUCUCUUCUCCACACAGAGACUGUUUUAAGGGAAGUCUACACCCCCAAGACGGUGCAGCCUAUUCACUGCUGAUGUCCUGGCACUUGAAGAAUGACCAAAAACAUCUGUGAGAGAAGGAGGAGAUUAUCCACUCCAAAAAUGCACUUUUAUUAGUGGUAGGACAGAGAAUCAGACAAUCUCUUACCACAUUACACAGUAAUUAUAAGGACAGCUGCACUGUACCUUCAGCUGAUGCUUCUCCUGGAUAGGCCCAAGUUUUCAUUAAUGUAAUUUCCAAUGUCCAAAUGGCACAAUGUAAUCUGUAAUAAGUAGGUAACAUGACUCUGAUCCCAGAAUAAGAAAAGAGGAAGAAAAACAGGCAAAUUAAAAUAAAGAGAAAUAAAAUCUCA